UUCCAGACUCCUACGGGAGGCAGCAGUGGGGAAUAUUGGGCAAUGGGCGCAAGCCUGACCCAGCAACGCCGCGUGAAGGAAGAAGGCUUUCGGGUUGUAAACUUCUUUUAAGAGGGAAGAGUAGAAGACGGUACCUCUUGAAUAAGCCACGGCUAACUACGUGCCAGCAGCCGCGGUAAUACGUAGGGAGCGAGCGUUGUCCGGAAUUACUGGGUGUAAAGGGAGCGUAGGCGGGGAUGCAAGUUGGGUGUCAAAACUACCGGCUCAACUGGUAGUCGCACUCAAAACUGCAGCUCUUGAGUGAAGUAGAGGCAGGCGGAAUUCCUAGUGUAGCGGUGAAAUGCGUAGAUAUUAGGAGGAACACCAGUGGCGAAGGCGGCCUGCUGGGCUUUUACUGACGCUGAGGCUCGAAAGUGUGGGGAGCAAACAGGAUUAGAUACCCGAGUA
rnacentral:rRNA from 1 species